rnacentral:rRNA from 1 species
ACAGCAGCCGCCGCGGUAAUACGUAGGGUGCGAGCGUUAAUCGGAAUUACUGGGCGUAAAGCGUGCGCAGGCGGUUGUGUAAGACAGGUGUGAAAUCCCCGGGCUUAACCUGGGAACUGCGCUUGUGACUGCACAGCUAGAGUAUGGCAGAGGGGGGUGGAAUUCCACGUGUAGCAGUGAAAUGCGUAGAGAUGUGGAGGAACACCGAUGGCGGAGGCAGCCCCCUGGGCCAAUACUGACGCUCAUGCACGAAAGCGUGGGGAGCAAACAGGAUUAGAUACCCCCGUAGUCCCUGUCUCUUAUAC